GGAAAGAAAAGAGACAGAACGUAAAGGGAGGAGGGGAGUGAAAGAAUUAAAAAAAAAACAAAAAUUUUGGGAAAGAGAGAAGAUGACAGAACGGUUGAGAAAAGAAAGGGAUUGAAAAUUUUAAAAAAGCAAAAAAAAAAUUUGGAAAAAGAAGAGGAGGGCACGUGAAAAGUAGAGAAAAAGUUUGUAAAAGCAAAAAGUUUUUAAAAGAGAAAGGGAGAGGAGAAAAAUUAGAAAAAAGGGAGAGGGAUACACGUCUGGUGGUCUUCUUCUUCUUCAUGAAAGAAGGAACGGAAAGAAAAGGAAAAAAAACGAAGAAAAAUUAAGAGAAAAAAAAAGAAGAAAAAGCUAUUGUUCAUCUUCUUCUUCAUUUUGAAGAAGAAGAAAACUGAAGAAAACCCCCACGCCAUAGCCCAUGGCCUCCUCCUCUUUCACGUAAAAACGACCAUAACCAGCCUCCCCGUCGCGCACCACCAUCCGCUGCUACUCCUCACCACCAAACCUAUUGCCCCAUCGACUACUGUUUCACGUCACCACCAAACCUCACUGCCCCUUCGACCAGCUUUUGCUUCAUCCCCUUUUCAAACGCCCACAAACAAUCCGAGUUCGACUUGGGUUCGUUCAAGUUUCAGAUUUUUCUUUCAAGAUUAUUUAGUUCAUAUGAUUUAUUUUCUGUUAUGGUUUUUGGUUUUAAGUGUUGUUCAUAAUCUUGUUUUGUUCAUUCUAUUUUUCGGAUUAUUGAAUCUUUGUUUAAAGUGUUAUUUUUUGUAAAUCUUGUCUUGUUCAUUAGUUCUCCUUCUUCUUCAAGACCUUUUAUUUGGUCAAGGUUUUUCUUAUGUUUGUUUGAGUUAUAAGCUACAUUCGAUUUGAACAACUUCAUCGAAUAGUUAGUUUAUGACUGCUUUGUUUGGACGAAUACAGCAUGAAUCACUUCGUUGGUAUGUUUUGAUGCUUGAAUCAUUUUGUGUGAAUUUGACUUAAGGAUUGGUUGUAGCUGUGUAGUGAUUUGGUGUAGUUGUAAAUCAGAGAGGUUUAAAUGCAGAUUGCUAAGAGUGAGGGCAAGGCAAUAAUAAUAGGGGAUUCUCAGGGGUAUAUUUUUUUGGUGUUAAAAGAUUUAAAAAGUUUAGUGUUAGUAGUCUGCCAGUUAAUAUUCAGUGUAUAAUUAAAUUAAUAAAUUGUUUAAUGGAAAGGGAAUUAGUAGUGCAGAAUACACCAUGAGUCUGGUGUCUUUAAGGGUGGAAAAUCAGAAAGUAAGCAUGAGAUUAAUGAUAAAAGUGUAUAGAUGCACAUGGGAGGGAAUAUACAGGCUGAAAGUGAAAAACUUUGAAUAAAUAAUGUUUAGUUCUAGCCUAUAAAUAGGAGGAGUUGAUAUAGAGAUAGGGACUGGGGGAAAAAAUUCAGAGAGGAAAAAUUUUCAGAACUUAAAAGGGAGAAAUAGGCUAAUUUUUUCAGAACUAAAAAUCAGUCUUUGAGAGCUAAAAACUGAAAUUUGGUUCUGACCAUUGUUACACUGGUUAUUGCUGGUUUUGUUGCUGUUAUUUGCUGUGGGAUUCUGUUGUUGUGUUAUUGCUGCUGCUGACUCCUCUUUCUUUUGUUCUUGUACUGCCAUUUCCAGGUACAUAGUUGUACACUCUCGGCUUGAAGCGAAAUGAAAUAUUAAUCAGGCUUUGUUCCUGUUGAAUUCCUCCUGUUUAGAUUUGUGUUUGAAUAUAAUUUUCCUUUCUUUGUAUAAAAUGUAGUUGACUGAUUAAUGAGUAACGAGGUUGCAUAACUUCUUCAUCUAA
rnacentral:lncRNA from 1 species